rnacentral:rRNA from 1 species
UACAGAGGUCUCAAGCGUUGUUCGGAUUCAUUGGGCGUAAAGGGCGCGUAGGCGGCGGGGUAAGUCGGGUGUGAAAUCUCAGAGCUCAACUCUGAAACUGCACUCGAUACUGCUCUGCUUGAGGACUGGAGAGGAGACUGGAAUUCACGGUGUAGCAGUGAAAUGCGUAGAUAUCGUGAGGAAGACCAGUGGCGAAGGCAGGUCUCUGGACAGUUCCUGACGCUGAGGCGCGAAGGCCAGGGGAGCAAACGGG